GAACAAUUCUCUGAUUGUGGUUUUGGCUGCUGUGGCCACCGUGCUGCUAUCCAAAUCAGAUGCUGGCAAAGGACCCAAUGUUCUGCAGCGCGACGUACCUGACGCUUUCAAGGUAUUCGCGGCGUUCCCUUACGCUGUCGCCAUUUCCGACGCUGACAAUGACACCAUCUUUGAAUGCCUGACGACGAAGCGCAAGGACUUUGACCCCGAGGCGAAGACAGUAACCUAUGUGUGGUCAAUAAGUAAUGGUCCUGGCAAGAGGAAGCAUGUUGGUUUCCACCACACCGCCGGGGCGACGCCGGAUGCCACAAACUUUACAGUUGGUAAAGAUUCCAACAAGGUGGAAGUGGCGUACGUAAUUUGGAGCGACUACAAAGACUGCGCCAUUACGGAAGUUCCGCACUUCGGAGACCAAUGCACACUAUGGGUGUCGAAAGAAGUGGAGGACCUAGUACCUCAGUACUGUCUCGAGCAGUUUCACGACGUGUGUGGUGUCGUGGUACCCCUUCAUGACAGCGACCUCUGCGAGGAUGACGACAAUGACGAGGAGGACC